rnacentral:rRNA from 1 species
UACAGAGGGUGCGAGCGUUGUUCGGAAUUAUUGGGCGUAAAGGGCGCGUAGGCGGUGCGGUAAGUCACCUGUGAAAUCUCCCGGCUCAACUGGGAGCUUGCAGGCGAAACUGCCGUGCUGGAGUGUGGGAGAGGUGCGUGGAAUUCCUGGUGUAGCGGUGAAAUGCGUAGAUAUCAGGAGGAACACCUGUGGCGAAAGCGGCGCACUGGACCGCAACUGACGCUGAGGCGCGAAAGCUAGGGGAGCAAACAGG